AGUGACCCUCUCCCACCUCCACGAGACUGCCCUUAGCCCACAGCGGCGCCCACCGGUGAAUUGCGACCCGCACUCUACGCGGUGAUACAAACAAUAGAGACGAACCUGUGCUCACCGUGAAUCUUGUGGCGCCACGACCUUACCACGUCAAUUAGCUGAUUAGACGGCGGUCUCCAACUCCGGCCUACAAUUCAUCGUGCAUCGGCCACCCUUCUCGCUCAACUACGCUCUGGGAACGUGCAGCACGUUACGAAGAUCGCGCUACGAUGGCGAGUUCUCCGAUGCGAUCCACUCGGUCCUUGGCAACACAACGACUAGCGGCUAGCUUAUAUAGGCCAUGGAGGGCAGAGUCCGCAUAUGCCCCCUCCAGCCAUCAGUAGCCACGGGCUAUCCUGCGCCCACCACCUGCCCUACCCCUCCCCUCCCCUCCCCUCCCUCCUGCCUUCGUCCUGCCCGAGCUGCCCGGCGCCUCUGUCCUCCUCCGGGCUCCACAGGCCUUGCCAGGCAUGGGGUUGGCCUUGUUGAAACCACCAGAUUUGUGCCUCCUAGACCCCAGUUCCUCGGCAACAAGGUAACCUCCGUGCCCCUGCUCCCUUUCCUGACUGCUGGUGAUGAGGAUGAUCCUAUCCGGUGCCUCCUCUGUGAACGCCUACUCCUGGGCCCCUGCAACUAAGAGCCUCCGCCGGAGUCGCCGCGGAGAAGCUGCUGCUCGCCGUCGCAGCCGAGGUGGUAAUAUAUGCUGGAAGCCUAUUGCAUAACUUCAACCAUUGAUUCCGUUGAAGCUAAUGUCAUGGAAUAGAAUUCUCACCACUUUGUUGUAGCAAUACAUAAAUUUGAUGAAUGGAUUCAACUAGUGUCAUAGAAUGAUAGAAUGGACCCGAAAUCUAUAUUUUUUGUAUUGUCACAUUUUGUCUCGAUGAUCAUGGUGUUUGUCUUAGUUCUACAAAUGACUUGGGAUCUUGAUAUUUUCCUUUUUUCACCUACUACUAUGUUGCAAUUUUGUUUACCAGUGCCACCAUGCAAGUGCAGUAUAGCAACAGUGUGCUA